CAGCCGCCGCGGGAAUACGUAGGGUGCAAGCGUUAAUCGGAAUUACUGGGCGUAAAGCGUGCGUAGGCGGCUUCUUAAGUCGGAUGUGAAAUCCCUGAGCUUAACUUAGGAAUUGCAUUCGAUACUGGGAAGCUAGAGUAUGGGAGAGGAUGGUAGAAUUCCAGGUGUAGCGGUGAAAUGCGUAGAGAUCUGGAGGAAUACCGAUGGCGAAGGCAGCCAUCUGGCCUAAUACUGACGCUGAGGUACGAAAGCAUGGGGAGCAAACAGGAUUAGAUACCCCCGUAGUCCCUGUCUCUUAUAC
rnacentral:rRNA from 1 species